AACAGCGAACGGCGAGAAAUAUGCGUUUAAUGUGGUAAAUAUAAGAGGAAAUAUGUCAAAGUCAUUUAUAUGUGCCAAUCUUCCUGCUGCCAGCUGGUGGCGCUAUGACUAUAACUGGAUUUUGUCAUGUAGAUUUCUUCAGUCCAGCACUUUUAUCAAGCAUAUGAAAUUUAGUGCAGAUUGAACAUGGAAUGUUUGAGUUAGUAUAAAGCAUGUUGUGUCCUAUUGCCAACAGGUGGCGCUAUGAUUAUAACUGAACAUUGGCCUUUAGAUAUCUUCAGGCCAUGACUCUUAUCAAAUAUUUGAAGUUUGGUGCAGAUUGGACAUUGCAUGUUUAAGUUAGUGUAAAACAAGCCAUUUUCUGUUGUCAGCAGGUGGCGCUAUGAUUAUAGUGGAAUAAUGACCUUCAGAUGUGUUCAGGCCAAGACUCUUUUCGAACAUGUGAAGUUUGGGGAAGAUCGGACAUCUUAUGCCUGAGUUACAACAACUUCUAUUCCCAUGGCGAGACAUCGAACUUUGUCACGGCGCCAUGGCCACACCCUUUAAUGAAACCUCAAGAUGUUCACAAUUUAACAUCGCAAAGGCCUUUAGAUUAGACUGACCAAAAAAAAUUAUAAAAUGUCAUAAAAUUUCUAGGAGUAGUUUGUUACGGCGUAAAACAUGUCACUUCCUGUUGCCAGCAGGUGGCGCUAUGAUUAUAGUGGAAUAAUGACCUUCAGAUGUGUUCAGGCCAAGACUCUUUUUCGAACAUGUGAAGUUUGGGGAAGAUCGGACAUCUUAUGCCUGAGUUACAACAACUUCUAUUCCCAUGGCGAGACAUCGAACUUUGUCACGGCGCCAUGGCCACACCCUUUAAUGAAACCUCAAGAUGUUCACAAUUUAAACAUCGCAAAGGCCUUUAGAUUAGACUGACCAAAAAAAAAUUAUAAAAUGUCAUAAAAUAUCUAGGAGUAGUUUGUUACGGCGUAAAACAUGUCACUUCCUGUUGCCAGCAGGUGGCGCUAUAGCGAUAUCUGAAUAUUGGCAUGUAGAUAUAUUCAGGUCAGGAGUCUUCUCAAACAUGUGAAGUUUGGGGCAGAUUGGACAUUGUAUGUCUGAGUUAUAGCAACUUCCUUUCUCAUGGCGAAACAUCGAAAUUUGUAAGGCCGCCACAGACACGCCCUUAAACGAAACCUCAAGAUCUUCGCAAUUUAACAUCGCAAAGGCCUUUAGAUUACACUGACAAAGUUUGGUGUUGAUCUGAAUAAAUCUCUAGGAGGAGUUCGUUAAAGUACAACCCCUGAAAAUGGCAAAA
ensembl:lncRNA